ACCUUAUGCAAUACACGUCACAGGCUGCAAUCUCCAUAGUAACGGUGCCCCGCUGAGCUCAUCAUGAGGGACUGAGUGGCAAAAAACUAAAUUUUUGAACUUGAGAAGCAGCUGCUGAUCUGAUUAUUAUUAUGAGGGAGGAGGCAUUUUUUGUUUCGUUGUGGAAGAGUCAUUCCUUCUGCAGUUUUGCUAGUACGAUGGUCAAAAGUUGUUGUGCUGUUGGCUGCAGUAACCGGUCUAAGGUUGGUUCGGUUGUCAGUUUCUACCGCUUUCCGGCAGACCCUGUGAAACGGAAGAAGUGGACUGUAGAUGUUCGUCGUGACAAGUGGUCACCAAAUCAAAACACUUGGCUGUGCUCUGCACAUUUUGUUGGUGGAAAGAAGAGUGAUGACCCUCUCUCUCCAGAUUAUUUGCCGUCAGUUUUUUUUUAUUUGUACAGAGCCCUGUGAAACGGAAACAGAAGGAGCAACUAGAAGCGUACGAGCGGAGAUCGAAGCGUGUACGGUCAGGCCCGGUGUUCGAUACCGGUGCAGAUACGCCUCCACCGAGCGUGAUUGCUGACAAUAUUGUGGAGAUCCCUGAGGAGAGCAGGGAUGAUACUCCUCCACCGAGCGUGAUUGCUGACAAACCUGUGGAGAUCCCUGUGGAGAGCAGCGAUAGGACCGACUCAGCUAGUCCAGACACUGGUGGUAAAUGCUGUCAUCACGAGUCAGAAUUCGAUAAUUUGAAAUGUGAGAACUUGCUGCUGAGAGAGGAGGUGAAGAAAUUAAGGGCCCAAAACUCAACUCUCCGUGGUGGAGCAGCACUUUCUGAGAACGAUCUGAUAUGUAAUGAUGACAAGGUGAAGCUCUACACCGGAUUGCCAACGUACGCUGUGCUCAUCACUGUUUUUGAGUUUGUUUCCAGCGAUGUUGAGCGUCACAA